rnacentral:rRNA from 1 species
UGAGGGAAAGGCGAAAAGAACCCCGGCGAGGGGAGUGAAAAAGAACCUGAAACCGUGUACGUACAAGCAGUGGGAGCACGCUUAGGCGUGUGACUGCGUACCUUUUGUAUAAUGGGUCAGCGACUUAUAUUCUGUAGCAAGGUUAACCGAAUAGGGGAGCCGAAGGGAAACCGAGUCUUAACUGGGCGUUAAGUUGCAGGGUAUAGACCCGAAACCCGGUGAUCUAGCCAUGGGCAGGUUGAAGGUUGGGUAACACUAACUGGAGGACCGAACCGACUAAUGUUGAAAAAUUAGCGGAUGACUUGUGGCUGGGGGUGAAAGGCCAAUCAAACCGGGAGAUAGCUGGUUCUCCCCGAAAGCUAUUUAGGUAGCGCCUCGUGAAUUCAUCUCCGGGGGUAGAGCACUGUUUCGGCAAGGGGGUCAUCCCGACUUACCAACCCGAUGCAAACUGCGAAUACCGGAGAAUGUUAUCACGGGAGACACACGGCGGGUGCUAACGUCCGUCGUGAAGAGGGAAACAACCCAGACCGCCAGCUAAGGUCCCAAAGUCAUGGUUAAGUGGGAAACGAUGUGGGAAGGCCCAGACAGCCAGGAUGUUGGCUUAGAAGCAGCCAUCAUUUAAAGAAAGCGUAAUAGCUCACUGGUCGAGUCGGCCUGCGCGGAAGAUGUAACGGGGCUAAACCAUG